UAGAGUUUGAUCAUGGCUCAGAACGAACGCUGGCGGCAUGCCUAACACAUGCAAGUCGAGCGCGCCCUUCGGGGUGAGCGGCGGACGGGUUAUUAACGCGUGGGAACGUGCCCUUCUCUAAGGAAUAGUCUCGGGAAACUGAUGGUAAUACCUUAUACGCCCUUCGGGGGAAAGAUUUAUCGGAGAAGGAUCAGCCCGCGUUAGAUUAGGUAGUUGGUGGGGUAAUGGCCUACCAAGCCUACGAUCUAUAGCUGGUUUUAGAGGAUGAUCAGCAACACUGGGACUGAGACACGGCCCAGACUCCUACGGGAGGCAGCAGUGGGGAAUCUUGGACAAUGGGGGCAACCCUGAUCCAGCCAUGCCGCGUGAGUGAUGA
rnacentral:rRNA from 1 species